GUCCUGCAAGGCAGGAGCUGUGAUUGUCACUCUACUCUUACCGUGAGAAACCAGCUUCAUGGAGAGGGGAGGCAAACGCCCUGAGGUCGAGGUUAGUGACCGGGAAAGGCAGGUUUGGAUCCCAGGCCAUCCACGCCUUUAAUCACACCAUCACACGGCCUUUCUGCAAGUGUUUAUCUCCUCAGCGCAGGGCAUGAACGUCCCUAUCCGAGGGCUCCCGCAUCCUAAGUACACAGUAGCUCCUGCUGAGUCAGUCCUGUUGACGAGGCUCCUGCAAAGAACUUAAUUCACUGUGACCCCAGCACGGCUAUUUUCAACCUUCCUGUGUGAUUAUCGUGCUCACAAUGACAUUGGCAAACACGUGAUCCAGAAUGACACAAAGCAUUCCUGGAAGCUAGAUUUGCAGCAGGACUGUCAUUGUCUCCCAGCUUCCUCCCUUCUCCCCUAGGAAGCUCCUGGCCCUAUUGGAGUGACUCCAGAAAACGCUUUCCUUCCAGCUUACCCCUUGCACCUUCUGCCAGCCAUCUCACCAACUCUCGCCUUGCCAGUUUGGCUUGAUCAACAAAGCUCAGGCAACACUUGUCUUAUAUUCACCAGCAGAUUCCAUUCCAUAUAAGCGAAUCUGUGGGGAGUCCUUGGACAUUCUAUGAAGUGACUUUUACUGACAAAUUCGUUUUGCAAAAGCGUGAGAAGAGGGCCUGCUCCCGCCCAGCCCAGCGCAGCACGAGCUCCGGCAGAGGCAGCCGAGCGCGAGCGCGGCUCCCGCCACCGCUCCUCCACCGGCUGCGCCUGAGGCUGGCCCCGUCUGGCAGGCUGGGCUCCUCCCGCAUGUGCUCUUUCCAGCCGGGACAAAUCUAGGCACAAAGGGAAAGAGCAUGGAAAUGGUAAACUCCAGAGCUCGCGGAAGGAUGGCUAGCGCUUAGAGAAUUGUAGGGGUGUGACAACACGGGGGACGUUUAUGAGUUCCUACGGGCAGGUGCUGUACCACAUUGUCGUCAGUUAUUCCUCACAACAUUCCUAUACUGUUGUUAUCCUUAUUUUGUAACUAAGUUAAGCCUCAGAAAAGUUUUAAAAAUAAUAGAAAUAAGAUCCCACAGCUUGUAAGUGGAAGAAGUAGAUUCGAAACCUGAUCCUUUGCGUUUCUUAUUACCACUAGUGGAACAGAAAGUUGAUCUUCGGUUUCCCUGUAUCGUCUCUGAUCAGCUUUCCACAUCUGAGCUGUUGAGAAGGAUAGAUUGGUCAGCCCAGCAGAUGCUUCAGUAUUUGUUAUUAAAUGUAACGAGGCACGUAAGAAAGGUGGGAGGAAUUUGUUGCCUGACUUUGUUCUUCUUAGAGGAAUGGGCACAUGUGAAAUGACAAAAGGGACCCAAGGUACAGGUGGAUUACUUAUGACAUCUGAACGGUGCGAAAGGAGAAAUAGUAACAAACGGUGAAAUAUUAGGAAGGAUGGUGUAGGAAAGUAAUGUAGAGAUCAGAAAACUUUGGAUACA
rnacentral:lncRNA from 1 species